rnacentral:rRNA from 1 species
GACGAACGCUGGCGGCGUGCUUAACACAUGCAAGUCGAACGGAAAGGCCCUGCUUGCCGGGUGCUCGAGUGGCGAACGGGUGAGUAACACGUGGGUGAUCUGCCCCUUACUUUGGGAUAAGCCUGGGAAACUGGGUCUAAUACUGGAUAGGACCAUGCUGUAGGUGGUGUGGUGGAAAGAUUAGUUUCGGUAAGGGAUGAGCUCGCGGCCUAUCAGCUUGUUGGUGGGGUAAUGGCCUACCAAGGCGUCGACGGGUAGCCGGCCUGAGAGGGUGGACGGCCACAUUGGGACUGAGAUACGGCCCAGACGCCGACGGGAGGCAGCAGUGGGGAAUAGUGCACAAUGGGCGCAAGCCGGAUGCAGCGACGCCGCGUGGGGGAUGACGGCCUUCGGGUUGUAAACUCCUUUCAGCCAUGACGAAGCCCUUGUGGUGACGGUAGUGGUAGAAGAAGCACCGGCUAACUACGUG